rnacentral:rRNA from 1 species
GACGAACGCUGGCGGCGUGCCUAACACAUGCAAGUCGAACGGAUCAAUAUAAUGAGUAAUCAGAGUAUUGGUUAGUGGCGGACGGGUGAGUAACGCGUGAGCAACCUGCCUUGUACUGGGGGAUAACGUCGGGAAACCGGCGCUAAUACCGCAUAACACUACGAAGUCACAUGGCUAUGUAGUCAAAACUCCGGUGGUACAAGAUGGGCUCGCGUCCAAUUAGCUAGUUGGUGAGGUAAAGGCCCACCAAGGCGACGAUUGGUAGCCGAACUGAGAGGUUGAUCGGCCACAUUGGGACUGAGACACGGCCCAGACUCCUACGGGUGGCAG